GGUUCGUCCUGGCAUUGUUCAGCAGAAUAGACAAUGGAAAGAGGUUCGUCCUGGCAUUGUUCAGCAGAAUAGACAAUGGAAAGAGGUUCGUCCUGGCAUUGUUCAGCAGAAUAGACAAUGGAAAGAGGUUCGUCCUGGCAUUGUUCAGCAGAAUAGACAAUGGAAAGAGGUUCGUCCUGGCAUUGUUCAGCAGAAUAGACAAUGGAAAGAGGUUCGUCCUGGCAUUGUUCAGCAGAAUAGACAAUGGAAAGAGGUUCGUCCUGGCAUUGUUCAGCAGAAUAGACAAUGGAAAGAGGUUCGUCCUGGCAUUGUUCAGCAGAAUAGACAAUGGAAAGAGGUUCGUCCUGGCAUUGUUCAGCAGAAUAGACAAUGGAAAGAGGUUCGUCCUGGCAUUGUUCAGCAGAAUAGACAAUGGAAAGAGGUUCGUCCUGGCAUUGUUCAGCAGAA